GGGGAUUUGGCUCAGUGGUAGAGCGCUUGCCUAGCAAGCACAAAGCCCUGGGUUCGGUCCCCAGCUCCA
rnacentral:tRNA from 1 species